rnacentral:rRNA from 1 species
CGUAGGAUCCGAGCGUUGUCCGGAUUUACUGGGUGUAAAGGGUGCGCAGGCGGACUGGUAAGUCAGAGGUGAAAUCUCGUCGCUUAACGACGAAACUGCCUUUGAUACUAUCAGUCUUGAGUCCGGUAGAGAUCUGUGGAAUUCCGAGUGUAGCAGUGAAAUGUGUAGAUAUUCGGAAGAACACCAGUGGCGAAGGCAGCAGAUUGGGCCGGUACUGACGCUCAGGCACGAAAGCAUGGGGAUCAAACAGGAUUAGAUACCCUGGUAGUCCAUGCCCUAAACGAUGUACACUUGAUAUCUGCCCUCAGGGUAGGUGUCGGAGCUAACGCGUUAAGUGUACCACCUGGGGAGUACGCUCGCAAGGGUG